GAUGAACGCUGGCGGCGUGCUUAACACAUGCAAGUCGAACGGAAAGGCUCCUGCUUGCAGGGGUACUCGAGUGGCGAACGGGUGAGUAACACGUGGGUGAUCUGCCCUGCACUUCGGGAUAAGCCCUGGAAACUGGGUCUAAUACCGGAUAGGACGAUGGUUUGGAUGCCAUUGUGGAAAGUUUUUCGGUGUGGGAUGAGCUCGCGGCCUAUCAGCUUGUUGGUGGGGUAAUGGCCUACCAAGGCGUCGACGGGUAGCCGGCCUGAGAGGGUGUACGGCCACAUUGGGACUGAGAUAAGGCCCAGACUCCUACGGGAGGCAGCAGUGGGGAAUAUUGCACAAUGGGCGCAAGCCUGAUGCAGCGACGCCGCGUGGGGGAUGACGGCCUUCGGGUUGUAAACUCCUUUCGCUAGGGACGAAGCGCAAGUGACGGUACCUGGAGAAGAAGCACCGGCUAACUACGUG
rnacentral:rRNA from 1 species